rnacentral:tRNA from 2 species
GCCCGGCUAGCUCAGUCGGUAGAGCAUGAGACUCGUAAUCUCAGGGUCCUGGGUUCGUGCCCCAAAUUGGGCA